UNUGACUUGAGUGCAGAAGGGGAGAGUGGAAUUCCAUGUGUAGCGGUGAAAUGCGUAGAUAUAUGGAGGAACACCAGUGGCGAAAGCGGCUCUCUGGUCUGUCACUGACGCUGAGGCUCGAAAGCGUGGGUAGCGAACAGGAUUAGAUACCCUGGUAGUCCACGCCGUAAACGAUGAGUGCUAGGUGUUAGGCCCUUUCCGGGGCUUAGUGCCGGAGCUAACGCAAUAAGCACUCCGCCUGGGGAGUACGACCGCAAGGUUGAAACUCAAAGGAAUUGACGGGGGCCCGCACAAGCGGUGGAGCAUGUGGUUUAAUUCGAAGCAACGCGAAGAACCUUACCAGGUCUUGACAUCCCGAUGCUAUUCUUAGAGAUAGGAAGUUACUUCGGUACAUCGGAGACAGGUGGUGCAUGGUUGUCGUCAGCUCGUGUCGUGAGAUGUUGGGUUAAGUCCCGCAACGAGCGCAACCCUUAUUGUUAGUUGCCAUCAUUAAGUUGGGCACUCUAGCGAGACUGCCGGUAAUAAACCGGAGGAAGGUGGGGAUGACGUCAAAUCAUCAUGCCCCUUAUGACCUGGGCUACACACGUGCUACAAUGGUCGGUACAACGAGUUGCGAGCCGGUGACGGCAAGCUAAUCUCUGAAAGCCGAUCUCAGUUCGGAUUGGAGGCUGCAACUCGCCUCCAUGAAGUCGGAAUCGCUAGUAAUCGCGGAUCAGCACGCCGCGGUGAAUACGUUCCCGGGCCUUGUACACACCGCCC
rnacentral:rRNA from 1 species